rnacentral:rRNA from 1 species
AGAUUGAUCCUGGCUCAGUCGUAACAAGGUAACCUGCCUUAUCGACCGGGAUAACUUCGGGAAACCGAAGCUAAUACCGGAUAACCAAUGGACAUGCAUAUGUCUAUUGUAAAAGUUGGCGCAAGCUAAACGAUAAGAUGGGCCUGCGGCGCAUUAGCUAGUUGGUAAGGUAACGGCUUACCCAGGCGACGAUGCGUAGCCGACCUGAG